rnacentral:snoRNA from 12 species
AAGUAAAUUUUCUAAGUGUCUGAUGAUGAAUUUCAUAGGGCAGAUUCUGAGGUGAAAAUUGUAUUCAUCAUUGAUAGUCCUAUUAUGGAAUCUGAAGACACUUGGAAACCG